AGGGAGAGACCAUGGGGACUCGGUGGCCUGGGGCCUGGCCCCUCCUGCUCUGCUUCUUGGGGCUCCCCAGGGAAAGGUGAGCGGUUUGGGGCAGGGGUCUCCAAAUUAUCCCCUCUCCCCUUCCCACUACAGACCCCCUUGUGAGGAGGAGGUAGGAUAGGGAAGGGUCGGUCCACUGCUCAGGCCUCGAUCUCAGCCUCAGCUCCAAGAUGGGCCCAAAUACUGUAUCUUCCUACAUGGGCAGCCCAGGUUCUGGAGGUCCUGAUAACCACCUGCUCUUGGCCUGGGACACCCUGAGGGAGGGCGAUGGGUAUGAGGAAGACUUACCUGUAGAUGGCAGAGCUGGGGUAGCUGCCUGGGUCGUAGCUGACACGCACAUGACCCUGGUACAGCUCCACUGCAAUGUGGUCAUUGUCCCCAUUGUACAGCAGGAUCCCGUUGUCCUCUGCCGUGGAGACCUGAUGGGCAAGGGCACUUUCUCUGCCACCCCACCCCACCCAGCAGUGGCACAGGUAGGUGGGACAGAUGGGGGAAUCCACAUUUGGAAGAGGGAUGCUGUGCGUAGAGCUGCCCUCCCCUGGCUGCCCAGGGGACACAUCCUCAAGGGGAUGCUGACAGAGGCUGGCAGCCACUGGUUCAAAUCCCAUCCACUGCCAGGCUGGCCAGGGCCACAGAGAGAAGGCAGACAGACCAGCUGAGGCCUGGAAACGACGUGUGAGAAGGGGCAGGUGAGAGACCUUAGGACUAUGUGCCCGGAGAGGAAAGUCAGAUCGAUGCAGGGUAGCUUGUUCUAUGGGCCUCUGGGAGCCACAGAGAGGACAAGGUGAAGAGGGCUCUCUAAUAGCCAUGACCACCCAAACCUGGAAGGAGCCACUCAGGAGGUAGCACUGGUCUCUGAAUCUGUGUGAGCAAAAGCUGGAGUUGCCUUGGUGGGGGGAGCCCUCUGUGAAGCCGUAGAAACGAUGAUCCUGCCUUGUCCCUCUUCCCCCAUUGCUUCUGGUAGACAGCCUGACUCCCUGGUCUCAUACACAGGGCUGGCACACGGCCCAGGCUGGACACCUCAUAGCACCCAUUUCGCUGGACUCAGUGACUGGUCCAGGGAUGGGACUGGGACUGAAGACAGGCCAGUGACGGGGACAGCAGGAGGUGCCUGAGGCAGUGGCUGGGAGGGUGUGGUGAAUUUUAUUUUACUGAGCAGUUGGGCUGUGUUGUUGCAGUAUAGACAGUGUACAUGGGCAAGACUUAGGAGAGGUGAUAAAGUGGGGGAGAGCACAGUGAGCACGUCGGGAGGCUGAAGGGCUCUGGGAGAAAAGAAGAGGACAGAGAGGAGAAGUGGCUGCCAGGGUAGGGAGUGCAGCUGUUGGAAGAGGGAGAUGGCCAAAGAGGAGACGCCAACUUUUAUCAUGUGAUGUGCACUGUCCUCUCCCUCCCCAAGAAACGUUUAGCAAACAGUGCCAUUCAAGUGGGACCCGCUCUUUGCCCUGGAAACACUGAUGUUCUGAGAUGAAAUUCAAGACACGAAAUGGCAAAACAAGGGCCCCAGGGACAGGUGGCCAAAGAUACAAGCCCAGAGCCAACCCUGACUGUGUCCUAGCCACGUGGAGAAACCCGUGUGCAGCAUUCGAGGCUGAAGCUCAGGAGUAGGCGAGACUGGAUAGUGGGAGAGGACCCGGUCACCCAGGAGACCACUUCUGGCCCUGCCUUGAGACUGCUUCUGUGACCUGAUAACAUUUCCAGAUGUGCCUGACCCACAUCCCAAGCGUUUUGACUGACACAGGCUGCUCCCAGUUUUGGGCGAGGAUGCCGCUUGAUGCUCGGACCUGAGGCCACAGGCCCCUGCUGCCUGACUCCCCUCUGUGACUGGCGCCCUGAGCACGCACCUGCAGCGUGAUGUUGGCCCGUGGCCAGUUCUGCAGAUCGGUGAACUGCAGUCCUGGAGAGAAAUCACUAAACAUCUUGGGAAACUGGACCCUUAAAGCAACAGAAGAUGCUCCUAAUGAACACUUUCCUCGAGAGAACAAGCCAGAAGGAUACUGAAGACAAGAAAAGAAAAAACAGACACGAGCAAAAGAGAGAAGACUCCAAUUACUAAACAAAUACAAGAGGGGACAGUACUUCUAGCAGGUAGUUCUGACACAGCAUACAUCCUGUAGCGUCAGCAUUCACAACAGCCCAAAGCGGAAAUAACCCAAAUGCCUGUCAGCGGUUGAAUGGAUAAACGAGUGUGGUCUACUCAUGCAGCGGAAUACUAUUUGGCCACAAAAAGGAGUGAAGUUCUAAUACAUGCUCCCACAUGGAUGAACCUCAAAGACAUGACGCUAAGUGAAAGAAGCCAGUCACAAAGGACCACAGAUUGUAUGAUUCCAUUUAUAUGAAAUCUUCAGGAUAAGGAACUCUACAGACAGAUAUCAGAUUCUUGGUUGCCUGGAGCGGAGAUGGGGGGCGGUGGGGUGACAGAUAAGAGGUAUGGAAUUUCUUGUUGGAGUAAUGAAAAUGUUCUAAAAUUGAUUAUGGUUAAUGCAUGCAAAAUCCUGAUAAUAGAGUACAAGCCACUGAAUUAUAUACUGAAGCUGGGUGAAUUGUAUCUCAAUAAAACCAUGGGGGGGAAAAAAAAAAAAAGAACCAAGCAGAGCACGGGAGGUGGGUGGCCAGAAGGAGGGCAGGUGUUCCUCACCCCCAACUCUUCAGAGAAGUCAGGCUGUGAAGGUAAAUGACCUUUACGCUAGGACGUGUCUUCAGAGGUUUUGCUGAGCAGGAUGUGGUGGGCAUUGGCCAGUAAUCUGUACCCACCACCCCCUCCCUCAACCAAACAGUUUAGGGACCCUGUGCCUAUGAUCCAAGUUAUUAGGUAACUUCCCCAAGGCCACACAGCUAGGGAUGGCAUAGCCUUGGUUAAAACCCCAGGAUCCAACUUCCAGGCUCUGACCCUGGCUCCCUCCUGCCGGCUCAGCGGCUGGAGGCUAGAAGGCCUCAGUCACUCGGGGCACAGCGGGACCACUCACCUGUAGCCUUCAGCACAGAGGCAAGAGUAGCUGUUGACUCCAUCCACACACCGGGCCCCAUGCUGGCAGCGGUGGUCCCUGCAGUCAUCCUGGUUCUCACUGCAGUUGUUACCUGCGUAACCUGAUGCGCACUCACACCUGGGGGCGUGGGGGGAUCAGUCCCUCACUCAGCCGGGAGCCCGCAGGGCCCAGGGGCUAUGUGUACGUGACAGAGAACCUCAAGGCCUGCGCGUCUGUGGGACACCCAGGAGAUCAAGCAGAGCUCUGGAGAGAAAGAUGCCCCCAGCCCGUCCUCGUACGCUUUUCUGGCACAAGAAAGGAGCUUGUGUGGGCUUCUGAGUGACAGCAGCUUCCGGGCUGGGAGGAUGGACACCGAGAGGCACGAGGAGAUGGGGAUC